rnacentral:rRNA from 1 species
UACGGAGGUGUCUAGCGUUGUUCGGAAUUACUGGGCGUAAAGCGCGCGUAGGCGGACCUGCAAGUCGGGGGUGAAAGCCCGAGGCUCAACCUCGGAACUGCCUUCGAUACUGCGGGUCUCGAGUCCGGGAGAGGUGAGUGGAAUUCCCAGUGUAGAGGUGAAAUUCGUAGAUAUUGGGAAGAACACCAGUGGCGAAGGCGGCUCACUGGCCCGUAACUGACGCUGAGGUGCGAAAGCGUGGGGAGCAAACAGG